rnacentral:rRNA from 1 species
AGAGUUUGAUCAUGGCUCAGGAUGAACGCUGGCGGCGUGCCUAACACAUGCAAGUCGAGCGGUAUAUAGUGGAAUGAAACUUCGGUCGAGUGAAGCUAUAGAGAGCGGCGGGCGGGUGAGUAACGCGUAGGCAACCUGCCCCAUACAGAGGGAUAGCCUCGGGAAACCGGGAUUAAAACCUCAUAACGCGAGGAGUUCACAUGGACUACUCGCCAAAGAUUUAUCGGUAUGGGAUGGGCCUGCGUCUGAUUAGCUAGUUGGUGAGGUAACGGCUCACCAAGGCGACGAUCAGUAGCCGACCUGAGAGGGUAAUCGGCCACAUUGGAACUGAGACACGGUCCAAACUCCUACGGGAGGCAGCAGUGGGGAAUAUUGCACAAUGGGCGAAAGCCUGAUGCAGCAACGCCGCGUGAGCGAUGAAGGCCUUUGGGUCGUAAAGCUCUGUCCUUGGGGAAGAAACAAAUGACGGUACCCUUGGAGGAAGCCCCGGCUAACUACGUGCCAGCAGCCGCGGUAAUACGUAGGGGGCGAGCGUUAUCCGGAAUUAUUGGGCGUAAAGAGUGCGUAGGUGGCCAUGUAAGCGCGGGGUGAAAGGCAAUAGCUUAACUAUUGUAAGCCUUGCGAACUGUGUGGCUUGAGUGCAGGAGAGGAAAGUGGAAUUCCUAGUGUAGCGGUGAAAUGCGUAGAUAUUAGGAGGAACACCAGUGGCGAAGGCGACUUUCUGGACUGUAACUGACACUGAGGCACGAAAGCGUGGGGAGCAAACAGGAUUAGAUACCCUGGUAGUCCACGCCGUAAACGAUGAGCACUAGGUGUCGGGGUCGCAAGACUUCGGUGCCGCAGUUAACGCAUUAAGUGCUCCGCCUGGGGAGUACGCACGCAAGUGUGAAACUCAAAUGAAUUGACGG